AAACAACACAAAAAAUGCCGUUCACUCAAACAGCACAUAUUUUUCUAUUCGUCGCCACAUUCUCUCACCGAGGCCUAACUAUGUCGGUUCAGCAUCUCUAUGGAAUGCUGCCCUGUCUUCCGAGUGGCAUGGCCAGAAAGAGGAGCCGCUCGCCAGACACUGCAGGUGACAUCAUGGAUCAGCCCCCUUUAAAACGACUCAAGCUCUUCGGAGACCUGCAAGUGGAGAAGAGGACCUUCGAUUCGGUCAUACGAGCCAGCCUGGCUGCGUUGAAAUCGCCGUACAAAACCCCUCUGCAGUCCUAGUUUGAAUCCUUUUUUAUGCUAAAUUGAAGAACUGAUCCUUGAUCCUUAAGCAGGGGCUUGAGGGUUAUUGAGGUAGAUGGUAAUUAGCUUGGGCUUCAACAGAUAUGUAAUGGUACACUCUUUGGUUGAGGAAAUGCGUUAAACUAGAAACUUACAAAUGAAAAAGGAUUUGGCACCUAAAUUGGUUUGGCGUUAGUUGGAAGUCAAUACCAUUUGGUUAAGCAGUUACAAGACACACUCUUUGAAUAAGAAAAUCAGCCAAGCCUUAAAAUCACAUAGUUAUAAAAAUUUGGCACCUAAAUAGAAUUGACACCUUAUAGAAUUCUACAUGUUCAAAGUUAUAAUGCGAUAUCGUAUCGCUAUUAUCUUGGUUGGACCUUGGAGCGGAGUGCGUUCUUGGCAAGUGCGGAGUGUGCUCCUUGAGGACGGGAGUAUUAGCGACAUGGUCAACUGGCACAUGCCAUUCCCAGCGGCACGCUCCAGGGGCAUCAAUAUUCCCGACGCUGGACGCGCACGGCCACCUCCGGAGGGGCAUGGCAGUCGCAGGACCGCCGGUGCUCCCAAGACACACAGAUGCACUGGGGAAAAAGACGCCACCGCAGGAGGCCAUUGCAUUGCUACCAGUUCGGACUUUAAAUAUUUUCGUUCUCUAUUUCCACUUCAAAAUUAUCAAUUAAAUUGGAAACUAAUUAAAAAUA